rnacentral:misc_RNA from 1 species
GAUGAAGAACGCAGCGAAAUGCGAUAAGUAAUGUGAAUUGCAGAAUUCAGUGAAUCAUCGAAUCUUUGAACGCACAUUGCGCCCCUUGGUAUUCCGAGGGGCAUGCCUGUUCGAGCGUCAUUAUAACCCUCAAGCUCAGCUUGGUGUUGGGGCCUGCUGCACUGGCAGCCCUUAAAAUCAGUGGCGGCGCCAUCUGGCUCUAAGCGUAGUAAUUCUUCUCGCUAAGGAGUCCUGGUGGAUGCUUGCCAUCAACCCCCAAUUUUUCUAUGGUUGACCUCGGAUCAGGUAGGGAUACCCGCUGAACUUAAGCAUAUCAAUAAGCGGAGGA